GAACUGGGAACUGGGAAACAAAGGCAAACAAAGGCAAAUCAAAGAUGGCUGCCACUAAUUUUCCUGUGUCAGAGUCUCUUUGCAAAUCUGUUUAAAAUCACCAAAAUACUGGUGCCAUCCAUGUGCUAUGAAAGCAUUGUUGGUGAUAAAGUAUUCUUUUGGUUCAUUUUUUGAGGAUAUUUGACGAGUUCUGGUGUUUUUUGACCGUGAACUUUGAAAGAGGCCUGAGAGCAUACAGUGACCAGCAACAGAACUUCAAGCUUCCUGGAGCAUACCUUUUGUAAAAGAGGUUGAAAACAUGGCGACAACAACUAAAAAGUUGGCAGAAGAGCUGGAAGAGAUUAAAAAAACGCUCAAUUUCAUGUCUGAGGAGAUCAGCAAAGUGGUUAAGCAGCAAGCCAGUCUGAUGGGCCUAGUGGAAGAAGUCCGUGAGCUGAAGGCCACAAUCAAACUUAAAGACCAGAAGAUCCAUCUGCUUGAAGAAAGGAUCGAUGACUUGGAGCAGUUCUCCAGGGGAAAUGAUCUGAUCAUCACUGGGCUGGAUACAAGACAUCGCAGCUAUGCCAGGGCUGCAGCCAGCGACCAGCAAGGCUGCCCAAGAUAAAGAAAGAGGAAGUACAGCCGCUGGUGUAAUGCUUCAAAUAGCAGCCACGCUUUCCCAAUGACAGGCUGGGAACGUAUCAUCAUGUCCAUCAAGUCUUACCGUGGUAACUCAAGACAAAGAAUCCAGCUCCAGAGAAGUCUGAGUGGAAUUUGAUGAGGAUGAUGUUGGAGGUCGAAUAGACGGACUCCAACGCCGUGUUCCCACUGAAUUGGCCAAUCUGAGGAGAUGACUGGUCUGGACCGUCCCUGCUCGGAAAAGGGGAAAAAAAACAAAACAAAAAGUCAGCAUUGCCCUCCAAAGUUGGGACGCAUCUACUAGUUUGAAGAAUGGAGCGAGAGGACACAAUGCUAACCUGGCCCUACACCCGACUGUACGUACAAGGGAUGUCCACACUUCCCCCAGCGGGGGGUCACACACUGACAAAUGAAGGGACGCCAGGUCCACUGAGGUAUAUUUCCAGAAAAAAAGCCUACUAUCAACUUCAUGCUCUGUUUUACUUUAUUGCAAUGACGUUAUUUCCUUAUUUCAUAUUACCACAUUGAAAAAAAAUCUUUAAUAAUAUUACUUGGGGAGAAAAAAGCUGAUUCUUUCUCUCAUAUUUCAACUUUAUGUUCCGAGAAUGAUGUCAUUUUCCGUCAUACAAUUAUGAGGUCCAACGAGGUCCUUUAAAAUGUUACUGGGGAGAAAGGAAAUUGGUUUAGAGGCCAAGGUGGAGUCUUUUUCAAGUGUAGCUUCAGUUAGCAUAGCGGGACAGGAAGUUAUCCGUGGACUCCCGGGUCAGACCCGGUCAGGCUGAGCCGCGGGAGUGGAAUUUACAAAUAGAGCCCCCGCUGUCCGUGAUUAAAAAGGUAUGAUGGCGGAGUUAACUAAAAUGGUCAUUUCCUGCUGUUUGAGCGACUUUGGAUGGGGCUAAUUACACUUGAUGAGGAAGAGAAGGCAUCAGGGUCUCCUCCGAUCCACAUUAGGUGGUCUCGUCUUCAUCAUGGCUUCUAAGUGCAUACCGCCAAGACUUGGCAACACGCGUGACAUAUAUAAUCAGUCCUACUACACCGCCGACGCCCCCGUAGGCCUGCCGGUAUGUGAGCAAUUAGCAUCCAAACCAAACUGUCAGGUUCUGGCACUGGACCUGAGCAGGCCUGCUGUGAAAAUGGCACUCCCACGAUGGAGACGGCGCUCCCUGCAGAGAGGCGCUUUUUAGUGGCGGCGGUGAUGAGAUAGUCAGCUGGGCUCAGACGCUUUUAUUUGUGUGUGAUUUUAGCAAUUGGCACACAAGGCGGCAGGGGGGUCACGGACAAUCUUCGCAGUUAGGAAUUUUCCAAAUGGACUGCACAUCGUUAUGUGGAUUGAACGGAAUGGGGUACCUUUCAAAUGCGGACAGAGUAACUUCCAUCCAUUUUCUGGUUGCGGGCAUCCUCAUUCCACCAAAUCAUUUGAAUAUGCAGUUAGUGAUUUACUGACAUGUUGUUGUCCUUUAGGUACUUAGGUAUCUUUGCGUAGUUGUUUCAUUGGCUUCAUGAGAUGUUAAGUAAAACGUAAAAAAAUGAGCCACACAAAUCAUCCACAGGCGCUAAACCUGGUUCACACUACCUGGGUCAAGUGGCACGAUUUCGAUUUUGAGGAAGGAGAGGCUGUGCGUCUUCCUCUUCCUUUCGGGCGAGUGUGACAUGUGACGCACCUUCAUAUAGCAUUAGCAUGUCCGGUCGUCCAGCUCAUGGCACCUACCAGACAGUGAUGUAGUCGUAUAUGGGCUCCGUGCUGAGGACGGUGAAGUUGAUGUAAAUCCCGUGUCCCGGCGGAACCCUUACGCUCCAAACGCAGUCCUGGAAAUUGGGGUACUCCUCGGGGUGACCGGGUGAGUAGAUGGUCCCGUUUAACGAUGUGAUGUUUCCACCGCAUAGAGCUGGAAAGACAGUUACACACACAUGUCACUUUUGCUCUUUUUACUUAAGUUUUGAACUUCCAUGAUGUUCCCCCAAGCGUGAGGCCGACUCUUCUGGGGAGGGGCAGAACCACAAAGGAAAGUGAAAGUGAAAAGUGAAGUAAAACGCUCAGUGGCGAAAUCAAGGAUCUUCUCCCAUGAAAUGGAAAGUGAUAACUAAACAGCAUAGUGGUCACCUCUCAAAAAGCCCUUCUCUCCCUCCUUUGCAACACCCCUUUUCAAUGUGCCAGACCACCAUCCAGGAACCCAACCUGUUGCAAACCCGACGGCCUCCUGUACAUCCAACUGCGACCCGCGUGGCGCUUACCUUGGAACGUGAUGUGGAACCCGGGCUUGUUCUGCGAGUAAUCGCUGUGGAAGAAGAAGCUGGUCUGGUGCGUGGUGCUGAACAGAGGCUUGGGGACCGCGGGGCCGCUGAAGCGGUCGAUGACUGAGCCCGUGUCCGGGCUGCCGCUACGGAUCUCCAGGUAGUCGUGAAUGGCCUCGGUGGAGAAGUUGACAAACUGGAGGUGGAUGCCUGUCGGACAAUACAAAUACACCAACCUCACAUAACGGAAAGACAUUUACUGCAAACACAUGCUGGGACACUUUACCAAGAGCUAUAGUAACGCUGAACCAUCACAAGGUUACACAAGGUCAAGUUUAGUAUUAUUUUUAGUACUACAUAGUAACAUGAAGAAAUGUUCCAAGAAAGAAAAAACCUUCCUCACCGAAGCCCACAGGUAAGUUGACGCUCCACGUGCAGUCCAAGCCGCUCGGGUAGUUGCCGGGGUAACCGGGACUGAGAAUGACACCGCUUACGUCCGUCAGAGCCCCCCCACACUGGGCUGGAGAUACGCACACACCGAGAAGACAAAAUGACACAAACACACACAGUCGGCCUGCUUAAAAAGCGGAGCUUUGGAGUGCUUUGGCAUCAUCGGUGAAUAGCAAAUCAAGUCUUUAAUAGAUUCCCUAUCACACUCGGCAAAAAAAGCUGCGAGCGCGAGAUCCAAUUAAUUUGCAACACAAGGUCAAAGAUAAACAUCCAAUUUGGAUGCAUCAGUGGCAGCUCAUGGGCAAGAGCACUUAUUUCCCCCCCACAGCCUUUUAAAUUCACUCACACUCAUCGUAGGUAAUCAAGGCUCCUGUGCAUUACUGCGGCGUGAGCCAUGCAUUAUUCAACACGGCUUUUUGCCGCCUGCGGACGGCCAACUGGAGACCGGCGUAAUUGUGUUGGCUUUACCCAGGUGCUAACGCAACAACAAGCAUGGCAAACGCUCGCGGGACGCCAUCUUGGAUGAAACAGUCCUUAAACUAGGACACGACUAGGCUGCUUAUGGUUUGACAUAUAAACUUACGACUUUAUGUGCAUUUCCUCCCUUGCCUUAGAGUGCCUUAUGAAUUUCAGUCUCAUCUCCAAAUAUUACAAGAAUAGAUUUGGAAUAUCAUGAUCACACAAGAAUGAAGCUGUACUAUCCCAAGAAUAAAGUCAUAAUCUCGAAGGAAUAACCUGAAGAAUUAAGAAUUUCGCUGUGGAUUAAGUGUGUUAAAAAGUCGUACUUUCUGUUGAAACGAGAAAAAGUUAUUGUAAUAGGUAAGAGAUGACUUCAGCAAUAUUCUCCAUGAUCAUCUUCUAUAAGCAUCAUGGAUAUUUGCUGAUGUAGUCCUGUUUGUUUGCUUCCCUUGUUAUGUUUUUGUUGCUGUUGUUCUUGUCUCUUUUUGUCCCCAUCUUGUUCCCCCACACAGCAAAUAAAAAGCAGAAUAAAGUAGAAAUAUGACGUUUCUUGUGAAUAAGCCGCCUGCCUGCCUGCC